GUUGCUGCUGCUGUUGUUGUUGCGGGUGAUGGUGGUGGUAGGCGGCUGAGAGCGGAGACAGCCGCUGCGGGAAGCCAGCCGGGACUUCGGAGGGCGCCACCACUGGGGUGGGUCGAAGCGGGGAUCUGGCCGCCGCUUGGAAAGAGGCGUGCGGGUGAACCGAGCCCAAGUGCGCGGUGAGGGCGGCGGCCGAGGCCCCUGCCAGGCCCUCCGGGGCCGCCCCCAGAUCCCCCACGCCGGCGUGCAGAAUGUCUGCGAUGCAGAAGGAGGGCUUUUUGACGGCGGCGGGGUCCAAGGGGAAGGAGCAGCCGCCUGGGCCGGCCGAGGAGCAGUAAGCGGCCGACCAGAGGCUGAAGUUGGAGGCGUAGAAGGGAGCCAGCCCGGCUGCGAACAUCCUGCCGGGGAGUCCGUGUCCUCGGCAAAGCCCCUCAUCUUUCCUGGGCCCUUGCCCAAAUGUUGCCGCCCUGAGUCCCGGCCCAACUCAGCACCGCGUCCGCCUCGUGCCUCCCAGGAGAUCCUCCGGGAAGCGAGGAGGAGGGGCGGCCGCAAAUUGGUUUUAUUCUGAGCUGUCACACAGUGACAAAUUGAACGAGUGACUUUUCAAACAAAAUAAGACGGAUGGCUCCAAACGUCUCUCUUAGACGCAGCCAAACCUUUCCCCGGAGCCUCAGAGGCUACAAAACAGGCUGCCUCCCGAAACCCGGGAGAGCGGCACGCGCUUCCAUCCUUUGCAGGAGGUUGUAGGAAAUGUUAGCCUCACCCCUCCACCACAUCUCCGGAUCACGUGGGGUUCGUUGUUUUGCAAGUGCCCACAAGAGCAGAUUUCCGUGGGGUUCAAUACUGCUUUCAAUUCUGUGACAGCUUCCCCAGGAACCCCUUGGGCCUGGUUGCAGGAGGAGCUGCGUGGUGGUCAACGUCUUCCAUUCGUGCCUUGGGUCUUUAGAACGCAGGGUAGUGGUGGUGGAGGUUUUGUGCAACAUCGACAUAUCUAUUUUAAGAAUUUCUUCUCUUUAAAUUAUAGUCAGAAUGAAUUUCCCCACCCCUCUCCCAAACAAACCACAGGCCACCCAGAUGAGCUGUUCUUGCACAUUUUCAGGAAGAAAAUAAAAUAAUACGAAUAAUGAAACCACGAAAACUUUUGUUUUCGAUUGCCCUAAUAAGCAUCUCCUAACAGGGAUUCUGUGACAUUUUUAUUUCCCUUCAGCACGAAGGCUCCUCACCAAAUAAACCCAGAAAAGCAAGUGAACUUGCCAUGCCUAUCUCGAGUUCAGGGUUUGGGCUUAUAAAAUUAAUUUCUGGUGUUUUCUCUAGCCCCUUGAUGCAGAUGCUAUCCUU
rnacentral:lncRNA from 10 species